UGCGCAGGCGGUUUUGUAAGACAGAUGUGAAAUCCCCGGGCUUAACCUGGGAACUGCGUUUGUGACUGCAAGACUUGAGUGCGGCAGAGGGGGGUGGAAUUCCACGUGUAGCAGUGAAAUGCGUAGAGAUGUGGAGGAACACCGAUGGCGAAGGCAGCCCCCUGGGUCGACACUGACGCUCAUGCACGAAAGCGUGGGUAGCAAACAGGAUUAGAUACCCUGGUAGUCCACGCCCUAAACGAUGCGAACUAGGUGUUGGAGAAGGAGACUUCUUUAGUACCGCAGCUAACGCGUGAAGUUCGCCGCCUGGGGAGUACGGUCGCAAGAUUAAA
rnacentral:rRNA from 1 species